UAAAAAGAUCCUCUGUCCCAACAAAAUAGGAGGAGACCCUAACAAGACCCUGGAGAUGGACAAAACUUGAAACUUCGCCCAGUAAAAGCAGAUGCAUCACCCCCCUGACACUUUAAUGGACACUGUAGUUCGCUGUAGGAAGUUCUGUCCUCUGGUGGGGCUGCUGUACAGAUGAAGGAGACCCUGCGUGGAAGGGCUGGGAGCAGUAGAGCCAUGCUGGAAGCAGGGCCGGCUCCAGGCACCAGCUUAUCAAGCAGGUGCUUGGGGCUGCAACUCCGGAGCAGGGCGGCACU